UACAGAGGUCCCAAGCGUUGUUCGGAUUCAUUGGGCGUAAAGGGUGCGUAGGCGGUCUAUUAAGUCAGUGCUGAAAUAUCCCGGCUUAACCGGGAGGGUGGCAUUGAUACUGAUGGACUUGAGUAAAGUUGAGGUUGGCGGAAUUGACGGUGUAGCGGUGAAAUGCUUAGAUAUCGUCAAGAACACCUAUUGCGAAGGCAGCUAACUAAGCUUAAACUGACGCUGAGGCACGAAAGUGUGGGGAUCAAACAGG
rnacentral:rRNA from 1 species